rnacentral:rRNA from 1 species
AUUGAACGCUGGCGGCGUGCUUAACACAUGCAAGUCGAUCGGUAACAGGUGUAGCAAUACAUGCUGACGAGAGGCGGACGGGUGAGGAAUAUUUGGGAAUCUGCCCAUCAGCGGGGGACAACCCGGGGAAACUCGGGCUAAUACCGCAUACGCUCUACGGAGGAAAGCCGGGGACCGCAAGGCCUGGCACUGAUGGAUGAGCCCAAAUCGGAUUAGCUAGUUGGCGGGGUAACGGCCCACCAAGGCGACGAUCCGUAGCUGGUCUGAGAGGACGAUCAGCCACACCGGAACGGAGACACGGUCCGGACUCCGACGGGAGGCAGCAGUGGGGAAUAUUGGACAAUGGGGGAAACCCUGAUCCAGCGACGCCGCGUGGGUGAAGAAGGCCUGCGGGUUGUAAAGCCCUUUCGGUAGGGAAGAAAUCUCUUGUCUUAACACGGCAAGGGUUUGACUUAACCUACAUAAGAAGCACCGGCUAACUCUGUGCCAGCAGCCGCGGUAAUAC